rnacentral:miRNA from 1 species
AGUCUGACAAAUAUGCGUGACA